rnacentral:rRNA from 1 species
AACGAACGCUGGCGGCGUGUUUAAGACAUGCAAGUCGCACGGGAUUGAUCGAGUAGCAAUACAAGAUCAGUCCAGUGGCGCACGGGUGAGUAACACGUGAAUCACAUGCCCUUCAGAGGGGGAUAGCCCAGGGAAACUUGGAUUAAUACCCCAUGGUCUCGCAAGAGUAAAAGGUGGCGCAAGCUGCCGCUGGAGGAUUGGUUCGCGCCCUAUCAGCAUGUUGGCGGGGUAACGGCCCACCAAGGCUACGACGGGUACCUGGUCUGAGAGGACGAUCAGGCACACUGGAACUGAGACACGGUCCAGACACCUACGGGUGGCAGCAGUCGAGAAUAAUUCACAAUGGGGGCAACCCUGAUGGUGCAACGCCGCGUGGAGGAUGACGGUCUUCGGAUUGUAAACUCCUGUCAUCCGGGAGCAAGACCUGGCUGUGAAUAGCAGACAGGGUUGAUAGUACCGGAAGAGGAGGGGACGGCUAACUUCGUGCCAGCCGCCGCGGUAACAC